rnacentral:rRNA from 1 species
AGAGUUUGAUCAUGGCUCAGGAUGAACGCUAGCUACAGGCUUAACACAUGCAAGUCGAGGGGCAGCAUGAACUUAGCUUGCUAAGUUUGAUGGCGACCGGCGCACGGGUGAGUAACACGUAUCCAACCUGCCGAUGACUCGGGGAUAGCCUUUCGAAAGAAAGAUUAAUACCCGAUGGCAUAGUUCUUCCGCAUGGUAGAACUAUUAAAGAAUUUCGGUCAUCGAUGGGGAUGCGUUCCAUUAGGUUGUUGGCGGGUAACGGCCACCAAGCCUUCGAUGGAUAGGGGUUCUGAGAGGAAGGUCCCCCANAUUGGAACUGAGACACGGUCCAAACGUCCGUACGGGAGCA